GGACUUCCCGGCGGAAGCAACUCUCUGGCUCUUCGUUCUCUACGGCCGUGGCCCUUCACAGGUCAGGUUUCCUACCCCGGGCUCUCUACUGUCCCUGCUGGCGACCACCAUCUUGCCCCUGCGCCGAGAAGGCGGCUGCCCCGGCCGCCGGCUUGUUUUGAACUGCAUUUCCCAUCAGCCCUUCCCCACCAUCGCGAUAGCUCCUACGAGACUGCCGGGAAGAGUCGUGCGCAGGCGUGGCCUCACGGUCUUUCCGAAGCCGGCCGCGUGGCUGCCAUGGCGGUGGGUGUCGGUCCUGAGCGAGCCGAGCAGGCGCUGGCCUUUCGUGGCGACGUUUCUUUGGCAGCUGAAGAGACUGGAAGAAACAAGAGCUGCAGGUUGAAGCUAAGAGUAAUGGCUGAAGCCCUAAAGUGCCAGCUAUGUGCGAGACAGAACUGUGAACUGCUUUGCCCGAGGUCAUUUCCCAGUGAUGCCAGACAAGACCAGCAUGGCUCUGCCUCUGCUGCCAAUUGCUAAUAACUUACCAUUUUUUAAAAAUGGAGAAUCAUUUAAGAGCUCCUUUGCCCUUCAUUUUCAGAAGUAGCCAAGGAAUAAGGUUGUCUCAGAAAACCUUCGGCUAUUAUAAGGGUAUAACUAAGAACAUCCUAGACUAGAUCUGGGGGCAGUCUUUGGUUCAGGCAGGACCACGGUGAUUGUAAAUUGAGCUUAACUAACAUCACUGUCCUUUGCUGGGGGAAGUCUUAGAAAGAAAUGUUCUGCCUCGAGAAACCUUUGACUGAGUGGAUUACCUACAAAGUUGUCAGUGUGUUUGGAUUUCAAUUUUGAAGCACAAAUAAAGUUUAACUUGACUCAUCACUAUAGCAUAGUGUUUUUCAGACUUAGAGUUCCACAGUAAGGAUACCUUCCCUGUGACUCAGCACACAUUCUUGUAUAAAUGAACAGCUUCACAAAACCACCCCAGCUGUGCAGAAUGCGAAACGGCAUGUCUUUAGUUGUCCCCUAGGUUGAUUUUGUACCCCACUAAUGGGUUGUUACCCACCAACAAAUUGGAUGGUGGGGGGGGGCAGUCACUAUCACAGAUAAAGGAGGGGUCAGGGGUCCUAAGUUUGGGCGAUGCUCGAUUACCAAGGCCCACGGGUUUCUUUAAAAGGUCACCAUAUGAGGUCCUGAAGCAGGGUGCCCAUCAGGCAGAGGCACUCUUCUAUCCAGAGGAAGGCGUCUGAGACCCUGCUGGCCUGGCCUGGAGGCAGAGGGACAGGUUGGGGUUACCUGUGGAUCUGAAGUCACUAGUUCCCCUAGUGUGCGGCAGCGGGGGGCCAUG
rnacentral:lncRNA from 1 species